GGAAGAAUAGAGUAAGAUCCACUUAAUGUUGUGGAGAGCAAGGCAAUAGUACCUACCUCCAAAACACAGACAGCUCCAGACCCAAAGAGAAGACCAGUGUGAACUCAGCCCGGGAGAGUGUGAGGUCAGCUGACAAAAAAAAUGGAGAAGUCACCAGAUGAGAAAUAAGGAUGCCAUCUUCUGUGAUGUGACCCAGCCAAAGAUACUGUAACCAAAACCCGAAUUAAUGAGGACACACAAUAUUGACAUCAAUUCUUCAAAAUCAUAAGGACUGGCCACACAAUGCUCCCUUUGCAGAACAAGAUGAAGGAAAAUGAGAAAGCAAAAAUGUGGAGCAGUAAGUAGGCAUUUCGUGGUUUUCUGAAACCACUAAACUCCAUACGCCUUCCACCAGAGCAGUCCCGAGUGCACAAGAGGGACCAGCACACGCUCAUACGCCGCUGCCGCCGGCCUUUCCCAGCAACACCAGGCCCACCGACAGCACACCGUAUUUCAGGUCCCAGGGGACUCUUUCCCAUCUGACCUUGGCUGUGAGAAACAAACCUGAACAGAGGCUUUCCUUGUCCUUCAGCCAUUCUUAGCUGAAUGGGUACAAUGAACCAAGCUUCAGCAAAAUCCACCGACAGCAGCUGGGAAGAGAAGGGGAAUUAUGGGGCAGAUGAUAAAGGCCUUUGAUUAUGGAAGCAUUUCCUGAAUAGAGAGGACAGCAUCACCACCAAGCAUUUUAUUAAGUGAAGAAAACAAUGGCACACAUGCUGAAAACAUGCACCCACAUCCCAGAAGAUAUUUCCAAAGCUAACCUUGACUCUCAGUUCAUUGAAUGAGGCCACCUUGGCCCUGAAGAUAUUACUUUCAGAACACACUGCCAAUUCUUUGGAAUAUCCUUGGUGCUUGAUUUGAAUUUUUUAUUAGACCCACAUUGACCAUGGCAACUAGGUAGAUGUGCAUCUAGAGAGAAAGUGAAGUGGGUUUGCUCAGGUAUCACGUAGCUUGGCCAUUAAGAGCAGCUUCUGUGAUGUCUAGCAUUUUGGCAGCCACUUUGGAAUAAGUGUGCAAUCUCCCAAAGGACCUUCCUGGAAGGGUAACAGUCAUUUAAUAAAUGUGCAAGUUCUGAUGUCAUUGAAUAAAUAUGAAA